GGCCACAGCUGUGGGCGCCUGAGGUCCACUCACCUGCAGGCUGAGGGCCCGGGAGGAGAAGGCUGGAACGCAGCAGGCCAGGAUCGGACACCAGAAAGGGGCUUUGCUCUUCCUGUCCUCAUCGGGACACAGCCAGCCUGGCUGGUUCUCCUC